rnacentral:rRNA from 1 species
UACGUAGGGUGCAAGCGUUAAUCGGAAUUACUGGGCGUAAAGCGUGCGCAGGCGGUUAUGCAAGACAGAUGUUAAAUCCCCGGGCUCAACCUGGGAACUGCAUUUGUGACUGCAUAGCUGGAGUGCGGCAGAGGGGGAUGGAAUUCCGCGUGUAGCAGUGAAAUGCGUAGAUAUGCGGAGGAACACCGAUGGCGAAGGCAAUCCCCUGGGCCUGCACUGACGCUCAUGCACGAAAGCGUGGGGAGCAAACAGG